AGAAGCGAAGAUGGCGGAGUGAGGAGCGCCUCGGCCAUUUGGCCGUUUGGCCUCUGGGCCGGGGGCGUGCAGGCCCCCGGGAAGCCGACUGCGUCUGAUGGACCAUGUGAGAAUUCUUGUCACACAGGAUGAACACUUUCCUUACAUUUAGGUGCUUUUUAUUCAUCUCAAAACAAAAUUCUGAACUCAGGAUGUGGCCGGUAUUUCUAUGUUGUCUUCUAGAGCGGGUAGUCCUGCUUCUUUUAUCCAGCCUCUUUCCCUACUGAAAUAUGGAUACCUUUCUACACAUUACCUCCAUGGUUUAGAUUGGAAAAGAUUGCUUUUCUUUUGUUCCACCUUUGAAAUUCAACACAGAAAGAAGCCCUUAGGGUGCAGUUAUCCUGCUGACUUCUCCCGGAAGAAAAAAAGCAAUUGAUGGGUCUUCUGCAAUUUGCUUAAUUAUCAAAAAAUUAUUUUGCAAGCUGAAGGCUGACGUUUAAUUUGAAACAGGUGCUUAGGUUGUGGUAUUUGUGAAUUCUUAGCCUUUUGCUCCAAACAAGAAGACUAAUAAAUGGCAAGUUUGGAUGACUUCAGGUUUUUUAAAAAAAUGUCUUCCAGUUUCGGCCACUAUUAUGAUAAGCACAUUUGAGACUGCAGCAGUAAAUUCCAAAUAUUUGUUGUAAUUUGAAAAGAAAAAGAUGUUAAAAAGUUACAUAUAUCUCUAUAUCCUGGUUCAUCUUGUGACAGAUUUACUGGAUAGAAAUGAAGGUCCAGUUUUGCAGUUAACCCUUUGGUAUGAUAAAGAAGCAUAAAGACAAGAUAUCAAGAUUGAUUUCAUAUCUGAUACCUAAAGAGAAUCUGUACAAAUACAUAUUUUUACAUGUGUAAAUCCACAUUUUUGGAUGAAAGGAGGGGUUUUUCUCCUGGAGACAGAACCUGUUAUUUACUUUUUCAAGUCUUGGAACAUUUGCUCUUUUUAAAUUUUUUCAUUCUUCUACAGAAGGACCAGAUUGUGUAGCAGCUAAGUGAGUGCAUGCUUACAUUUAGUUAAAAGAAUGGUAAAAGCGAACAACCCAGUUUGAGUCCAUGAUGGAACCCUGUUCACCUUCCUAAGAUGAGAGGCUGCUGUAUUACAGUUUUAUUCAUCCUGUUUUCUGGAGUCAUAUAGCACAGUAGAGUUAGUUUUCCGUGUGGCCAAAACUGGAAGAAAAGUAGCACGAGUAGUUUUUUAGAUAAGAAGGUGAGAUGGACCCUAUAGUAUGACCUGCUUUGAACUUUGGACAUAGAAGAGAAGAAAAAGAUAAUGAGAAGUUUCCAUAUAACUCCUUUUUCCUAAGAAAAAGAAAAAUGUCUUAUGUAGCACCAUUUGACUUUUUUGGAAUUUUACAUUACAUAGUUCCAUUUUUUAUAAAGUCACAAGUAACUCUUUUCUCAACCCAGAUGGGUACUUGGAUUUAUUUUUCUAGGUGGUAGGUGUAAUGUUAAACUGAAAAAGCUGGGACUCAGGUAAAUUUCCCCAGUUGGAAUUGGACUUUCUCGUUACCGAGUGGGUCUAUCUCAGAACCAAUGUUGUCAAUCCACUGGUUGUUUCAUUGUAGAUUUAGAAGAAAUUCAGGAUCUGAAAAAAAAACCUCAAAUAAGAAAAAUAGUUCCACUAAGAAAUGUGGAUUUUGUGUUUCGUUCAUUAUAGAUUGAGAAGAAAUUCAGGGUUUGGGGAAAAAGAAAACAAAAACAAGAAAUAUGGAUCUUCCUUCUUUUUUUCCCCUUUAACAGUUAUAUGAUGAAGACUAGAGUGGAAAACUGUUCUUGCUUUCAAACAAACAGGAGCAUUGUAUGAUAUCAAGCCUUUCAUAAGAAGCAUGGACACUUUAUUAAUGAUUCUUAGUAGAGAAAGAAUUUUAAACUUACUAGAUGAAAUUAAGAACAGGUAGUAUAAUUAGAUCAUCUUUGUUUUCUGGAAUGGUUGCUGAGGGCCAUGGGUGCGAUGAUGUUGGGAACACAGGGCAGAUUUACCAAAAAUUGAGAGUGAUAGAAAUUGCCAAAAUGGGAAAUGUUGAGCAUUGUUAUGAUUAGAUUGGUGAACUAAUUUGAUUUAGAAUAAAAAAGCUUUUUCACAAAA